rnacentral:rRNA from 1 species
UACGGGGGGAGCAAGCGUUGUUCGGAAUUACUGGGCGUAAAGGGCGCGUAGGUGGCCUUCUAAGUUGAACGUGAAAUCCCUGGGCUCAACCCAGGAACUGCGUCCAAGACUGGGAGGCUUGAAUCCGGGAGAGGGAUGCGGAAUUCCAGGUGUAGCGGUGAAAUGCGUAGAUAUCUGGAGGAACACCGGUGGCGAAGGCGGCAUCCUGGACCGGUAUUGACACUGAGGCGCGAAAGCCAGGGGAGCAAACGGG